rnacentral:rRNA from 1 species
CCUACGGGUCGCUGCAGUGGGGAAUAUUGGACAAUGGGCGAAAGCCUGAUCCAGCCAUGCCGCGUGUGUGAAGAAGGCCUUCGGGUUGUAAAGCACUUUCAGUGGGGAAGAAAGCCUUGGGGCUAAUACCCUCGAGGAAGGACAUCACCCACAGAAGAAGCACCGGCUAACUCCGUGCCAGCAGCCGCGGUAAUACGGAGGGUGCGAGCGUUAAUCGGAAUUACUGGGCGUAAAGCGCGCGUAGGCGGUCUGAUAAGCCGGUUGUGAAAGCCCCGGGCUCAACCUGGGAACGGCAUCCGGGAAGGAGAAGGGGUGAAUGUCAGGGGGGGGAGGUGGAUUGCACGUUGAGGCGGCGAAAUCGGAGAGUGACGGGGGAAAUGGCGUGGGCGAAGGGGGCCUUCUGGACGGAAACGAACGCUGGGCUGCGAAGGCGUGGGUAGCAACCAGGAUUAGAUACCAUGUAGUC